rnacentral:rRNA from 1 species
GAUACGACCGUACCGCAAACCGACACUGGUGCGCGAGAUGAGUAUUCUAAGGCGCUUGAGAGAACUCAGGAGAAGGAACUCGGCAAAUUGACACCGUAACUUCGGAAGAAGGUGUGCCCUAUUAGUGUGUAGUGAACAACGAAGCAUGAAUGGGUUGCAAAAAAUCGGUGGCUGCGACUGUUUAUUAAAAACACAGCACUCUGCAAACACGAAAGUGGACGUAUAGGGUGUGACGCCUGCCCGGUGCUGGAAGAUUAAAUGAUGGGGUGCAAGCUCUUGAUUGAAGUCCCAGUAAACGGCGGCCGUAACAAUAACGGUCCUAAGGUAGCGAAAUUCCUUGUCGGGUAAGUUCCGACCUGCACGAAUGGCGUAACGAUGGCCACACUGUCUCCUCCUGAGACUCAGCGAAGUUGAAAUGUUUGUGAUGAUGCAAUCUCCCCGCGGAAAGACGGAAAGACCCCAUGAACCUUUACUGUAGCUUUGUAUUGGACUUUGAACAGAUCUGUGUAGGAUAGGUGGGAGGCUUUGAAGCAGGGUCGCUAGAUCUUGUGGAGCCAACGUUGAAAUACCACCCUGGUGUGUUUGAGGUUCUAACCUAGGUCCAUUAUCUGGAUCGGGGACAGUGCAUGGUAGGCAGUUUGACUGGGGCGGUCUCCUCCCAAAGCGUAACGGAGGAGUUCGAAGGUACGCUAGUUACGGUCGGACAUCGUGACGAUAGUGCAAUGGCAUAAGCGUGCUUAACUGCGAGACUGACAAGUCGAGCAGAUGCGAAAGCAGGACAUAGUGAUCCGGUGGUUCUGUAUGGAAGGGCCAUCGCUCAACGGAUAAAAGGUACUCUGGGGAUAACAGGCUGAUACCGCCCAAGAGUUCAUAUCGACGGCGGUGUUUGGCACCUCGAUGUCGGCUCAUCUCAUCCUGGGGCUGUAGCCGGUCCCAAGGGUAUGGCUGUUCGCCAUUUAAAGAGGUACGUGAGCUGGGUUUAAAACGUCGUGAGACAGUUUGGUCCCUAUCUUCCGUGGGCGCUGCAGAUUUGAGGAAGCCUGCUCCUAGUACGAGAGGACCGGAGUGGACACACCUCUGGUGUAUCGGUUGUCACGCCAGAGGCAUUGCCGAGUAGCUAAGUGUGGAAGAGAUAACCGCUGAAAGCAUCUAAGCGGGAAACUCGUUUCAAGAUGAGAUCUGCCGGGGCCUUGAGCCCCCUAAAGAGUCGUUCAAGACCAGGACGUUGAUAGGUCAGGUGUGGAAGC